GGUUAGGGUUAGGGUUAGGGUUAGGGUUAGGGGUUGGGUUAGGGUUAGGCAGUGGAGGUUGAACCCUCCCUCUCCCCUGGUAGGCAUUGGGCCCGCCAUUGAAGCGGAAGGGAGGUGCACCGGCCCUCCGAUCGAAGUGCCUCCCUCCUCCGAAAUUCCACCUCCUCGUUCCACGUCUUUCCUCCUGGCGUGGCGGUCUCCAGUACAUUUUUGUUGUCAAAAACGAGCGCCAGGCCAAUGUUUGUUUUUUUCAAAAAAUUAUAAUUGUUUUCAGUUAAAUAUACAAAAUGAAACAAAAACAGUCCAAAACUAAAAAGGUGUGUGCUCGAUCGCGACGUUUCGGUCCAAUAGGACCUUUUUCAAGCUGAGAGCACAAUUGAAAUGAAAGAAAAGAAAAAACAGUGGAAAAACAAAAAGCAGAGUGGAGCACAGUAAUACUCAAAAGAAAAGGCAACUCACAAAACUCGGCAAGGAUUGUCCAUGUGUGGAAAAGAAAUAGUCCAUUUGUGUAGAAAAAAAAGUUUUUUUGUAGUCCUGUUCACCGAGUGAUGUGUCCUGGUCGCCAGCUCCCUCCAAAAUGUCACUUCCUUUGUGUAGGGUGCAUCAACUUCCCGCCGGUUCAUCUCUCUCUCUCUGUGUGUGUGCGCUUGAGCCGUCAUGUAGAAAAAAAGUUGUUGUCCGAGCAACGAAGAGGUCCCUCGAACGGUGAGUAGAUGGCACCAUCUUGUGGAUGUUUUUUGUCAUCACAUCAAGUCCAAAAAAUAACAAUGUUUACAGUAGAAGAUAUUUGUAGGAACAUUUAACACAUUUGAACAAUUUCUUACACAUUACAACCAUUACUUAUACCUUACAACAAUUUCUUGAACAUUCAAACAGUUUUUAUACAUAAACAUUUCCAACAGUUUUUUAGAAAAAAAAUCUUUGUAUACAUAGACAUGGAUUGUUUUUAUCAAACAUUUUGUACAAAGUGCAUUAUUUCCUUCAUAAAUAAAUAAAAUACAUCAUACAGAACAAUUCAGUCAGUAUUUCUUUACAGACAUUGUGUUGUUUCUUCCGCGUAUCCGACCAAAGUCAAUCUACGUCAAUAGUAAGUCAAAGGCAGGUUCAGUGAGAAGUCCAUUUUGUUGAUGAUAUAUUUUUUAUGAAUGUAUGUGUUUGUUUAUUGAGUGACCUUUUAGGGUUUCCAGACCUGGUUUGGGUUGAACAAAGGAUGGAUGGGUGACUUUUAAGUUUAGGGAAGGGUCUGGGGAGAGGAAUAGUCUACGUAUACAAACUAAAAUAGGGUAGGAAACCUAGGGUUAGAGGGUUAAGGGUCAGGGGAUAGUCUAAGUAAGAAUGAAGAUGGGGUGGGAAACCUAGGGUUAGCGGGUUCGGGGUGGGGCGAUAGCAAAAUAAAUAAAUAAAUAAAUAGAAAAAUAAAUAAAAA